UCUGGGAAGCCGAGGCAGGAGGAUCACUUGAGCCUAGGAGUUUGAGACCAGUCUGGGUAACAAAGUGAGACCCACAUCUCUACAAA
rnacentral:miRNA from 1 species